ensembl:lncRNA novel transcript, antisense to GSPT1
CUCCAGCCUGGGCGACAUAGAGAGAUUCAUCUCAAAAACAAAAAAGAAACAAAAAACCAUUUAAAUAACAUUUAAAAUACACAAACCAAAACCAUUUCAGAUACCCUCAAAAAAGUACAAAAAUAACAGAAACAGCCGGGUGCGGUGGCUCACACCUGUAAUCCCAGCACUUUGGGAGGCCGAGGUGGGUGGCUCACUUGAGGUCAGUAGCCACCAAGACCAUCCUGGCCAACAUGGUGAAACCCUGUCUCUACUAAAAAUACAAAAAUUAGCCAGGCAUGGCGGUGCGCACCUGUCAUCCCAGCUACUCAGGAGACUGAGGCAGGAGAAUCGCUUGAACCCGGGAGGUGGAGGUUGCAGUGAGCCGAGAUCACGCCAUUGCAC